rnacentral:rRNA from 1 species
UACGUAGGUGGCAAGCGUUGUCCGGAUUUACUGGGCGUAAAGAGCGCGCAGGCGGUACUGUUAGUCAGGCGUGAAAGUCCUGGGCUCAACCUGGGAACUGCGCUUGAUACGGCAGAGCUAGAGGAUGGAAGAGGGUCGCGGAAUUCCCAGUGUAGAGGUGAAAUUCGUAGAUAUCGGGAGGAACACCAGAUGCGAAGGCGGUUCUCUGGAAAUUAUCUGACGCUGAGAAGCGAAAGCGUGGGGAGCAAACAGG